AUUGAACGCUGGCGGCAGGCCUAACACAUGCAAGUCGAGCGGUAGCACAGAGAGCUUGCUCUCGGGUGACGAGCGGCGGACGGGUGAGUAAUGUCUGGGAAACUGCCUGAUGGAGGGGGAUAACUACUGGAAACGGUAGCUAAUACCGCAUAAUGUCGCAAGACCAAAGAGGGGGACCUUCGGGACUCUUGCCAUCAGAUGUGCCCAGAUGGGAUUAGCUAGUAGGUGGGGUAACGGCUCACCUAGGCGACGAUCCCUAGCUGGUCUGAGAGGAUGACCAGCCACACUGGAACUGAGACACGGUCCAGACUCCUACGGGAGGCAGCAGUGGGGAAUAUUGCACAAUGGGCGCAAGCCUGAUGCAGCCAUGCCGCGUGUAUGAAGAAGGCCUUCGGGUUGUAAAGUACUUUCAGCGAGGAGGAAGGCAUUGUGGUUAAUAACCACAGUGAUUGACGUUACUCGCAGAAGAAGCACCGGCUAACUCCGUGCCAGCCGCCGCAGUAA
rnacentral:rRNA from 1 species